AUUGAGCGCUGGCGGCAGGCCUAACACAUGCAAGUCGAACGGUAACAGGAAGAAGCUUGCUUCUUUGCUGACGAGUGGCGGACGGGUGAGUAAUGUCUGGGAAACUGCCUGAUGGAGGGGGAUAACUACUGGAAACGGUAGCUAAUACCGCAUAACGUCGCAAGACCAAAGAGGGGGACCUUCGGGCCUCUUGCCAUCGGAUGUGCCCAGAUGGGAUUAGCUAGUAGGUGGGGUAACGGCUCACCUAGGCGACGAUCCCUAGCUGGUCUGAGAGGAUGACCAGCCACACUGGAACUGAGACACGGUCCAGACUCCUACGGGAGGCAGCAGUGGGGAAUAUUGCACAAUGGGCGCAAGCCUGAUGCAGCCAUGCCGCGUGUAUGAAGAAGGCCUUCGGGUUGUAAAGUACUUUCAGCGGGGAGGAAGGGAGUAAAGUUAAUACCUUUGCUCAUUGACGUUACCCGCAGAAGAAGCACCGGCUAACUCCGUG
rnacentral:rRNA from 1 species